CAGUCAUAUGCUUCGUUCAAGGGCUAAGCCAUGCAUGUCUCAGCGCACAUGGAAUCGACAGUGGGUCUGUGAAUGGCUCCUUACAUCAGCAGUCAUCUCCGUGAUAGAGUGUGGUCGGAGCCAGCCCCCAAUUCCCUGCCAGGCUCCCAGUGGGACAUCCUCCAAAACCUUGUGGCUAAUACACGCGCGCCCAGGUCGGCCGUGGGAACGUCUGUCUCGACCCAAGCGGCACUGUCCGGCUUCGUCGACCUCUUGGCAGGCCGACGGCCGAUUGCGCCCAGCCGAUCGAAAGAUCAGCGCCCCUCCGACGGGCAGCGUUCCUGGUGGCUGACUCAGGCUGGUCCCCAAACCCUCGGGGACGGUCGCUCUGGCAGAGUUUUGCGGCGGUCCCUCCGUGGGCCGCCCGUGGCAUUGCUUGAUCACACGAACUUCUGACCUAUCAGCUGGGAUUGUGGUGUAGUGGACCACAAUGGCCGUGACGGGUAACGGAGAAUCAGGGUUCGAUUCCGGAGAGGGAGCCUGAGAGACGGCUACCACUGCCAAGGCGGGCAGCAGGCACGCAAAUUGCCCAAUGGAGAAACACCGUCCGAGGCAGCGACGAACCGUAGCAAUCCCGCCGGGAUUCUUCCCCAGCGGGACUUGGAAUGGAUGCAAUCCAAACACAGUGAUGAGUAUCAACUGGAGGGCAAGUCUGGUGCCAGCAGCUGCGGUAAUUCCAGCUCCAAGGGCGUAUACUGACAUUGCUGCUGUUAAAACACCUGUAGUCUGCCACUGGGUUCAGGUCUGCCGGGCGGCCGGGCCGUCGGUCCCGGCCCGCUCCCGCCGCGGCCCUUCCUCCCCUCCGGGGUGCGAAGGCCGCGCGCGGGGCGGGCGCGGGGGCCGGUCGGCUCGGGCAAAACCCCCGGCGGUAUGCUCCUGCGCCCGCAAGUUCAAACAGCGGUGUGAGUCGCUCCUGCCGAAAGUCCCCUUCACUGGGGGCCCAGGUGGCCCAGUGCCCCCGACGCAGGCGUGGGGAUCAGACCCUGGGGCCGGGCCCUUCCAGUGCCCGGCAGAGAGCCCAGCCCCGCCCCCGGAGCCCACCGCGUCGACACCGUGGAAAACUCAGUGUGCUCAAAGCGUCCUCCUGAUGGCUGAAUGUUCGUCCAUGGCAUGUCGCCGCAUCGACCAACCGUGUGGGGCAAGCCCCCCGAAAAUGGCAAUGGAGUUGUGCUGGUCUUGGAGCCCGGUCCGGGCAAGGUGGUGCAUGGCCUCGCCCCGGCCCCUGGGGGCCCGCCCAGGACCUCCGGGCGCAGCGGCGUCGCCCCUCCGGGCGAAGGGAGGUUUUGACCUCCCUCGUCCCGGCCGGGGCGCUCGUUCGUUCGCCCAGCGGGGUCCGCCGGUCCGGCCCCCGGGCUCGGCGAGGUCUGUGCCGAUCGCUGACGAUGGGACCGUUCAGGGUGAAGGAUACUACAGCGCCAGAGGUGAAAUUCUUAGACCGCUGCAAGAUCAACUGCGGCGAAGGCGCUCGGCAGGUGCGUGUUCGUUCGAUCAAGGAUGAGAGUUCGGGGAGCCAAGAUGAUCAGACACCGUCGUAGUCCGCACCGUAAACUGUGCCGGCUAGGCUUUGGCCGGGAAAAUCAAAGGACCCGGCCAGUGCCAUGCCCCCUUCAUCGAGAAAUCCACAGCCUGUGGGUUCAGGGGGGAGUACGUUCGCAAGGCUGAAACUUAAAGGAAUUGACGGAAUGGCACCACAAGGCGUGGAGUAUGCGGCUUAAUUUGACUCAACACGGGGAACGUUACCAGGUCAGGACGCAGCUGGGAUGGACAGACUGAGAGCUCUUUCUUGAUCCUGUGGACGGUGGUGCAUGGCCGCUCCUGAUUGGUGGAGUGAUUUGUCUGGUUGAUUCCGAUAACGAAUGAGAUAUCUGCCUCCCAGUAGCCCCGGGCUCGUAUCCGGUAGGGCUGCGGCCCCGUCCCGGCCCCUCACGCGGGCCACGGCCCUCGCGGUCGGGGUCCCGCGGCGGGGGGGCGCCCCGGGCCGCCCCGAGAGCCUCCCCUCUUGGGUCCAGCUUCUCUGAGGUGCUGUGUACGCUUUCCAAAGUGCACGUAGGCUAGAGCCAACAGCAGGUCUGUGAUGCUCCCAGAUGUCCUGGGCCGCACGCGCACUACAUUGCUCCAGUGAGGGUGUGUCCGCCCGACCCCGUUCGGGCCCUGGCCGGAGGCGGCCGGGAAACCCUGCAAGCCUGGAUCGUACUGGGGAUAGAUGAUUGCAACUGUCUGCCUUGAACGUGGAAUGCCUAGUAAGGGCCGGUCAUCAGCCGGCCCUGAUUGUGUCCCUGCCAUUUGUACACACCGCCCGUCGUUGCUACCGAUGGCAGCUGGAUAGAGCCCCCGGGAGGCCCUCGGCGACCCCUCGCGGGGGACCCCUGGGCCGAAACUGGGCGAUGUCCUGCUGCUAGAGGAAGCAAAA
rnacentral:rRNA from 1 species